rnacentral:sRNA from 1 species
AGAGAAGACGCGAUGGCGGCGAUGGCAUCUCUCGGCGCCCUGGCGCUGCUCCUGCUGUCCAGCCUCUCCCGCUGCUCAGGAAACGCUGGGGCCAGUCUUCACCUUCUGUCAACUGGCCGGGGGCAGAGACCCUUUCUCUCAUCUUGAAAGCCGCAGUGCAUUGCCUGCCUGCAGCCCCCACCCCCGAUGUCUCUGCUGAGGAUGCCUUCAGUAACUCGUCCAGGCCGUUUGUGGCUCUGAAUUGAGGCUGGCCUGGCCCCCGGGCCUCCGUGUCAUAGCCGAGGCCUGCCUGGAGCCCCAGAUCACCCCUUCCUACUACACCACUUCUGACGCUGUCAUUUCCACUGAGACCGUCUUCAUUGUGGAGAUCUCCCUGACAUGCAAGAACAGGGUCCAGAACAUGGCUCUCUAUGCUGACGUCGGUGGAAAACAAUUCCCUGUCA